rnacentral:rRNA from 1 species
CAGUCGCCGCGGUAAUACGGAGGGUGCGAGCGUUAAUCGGAAUUACUGGGCGUAAAGCGUACGCAGGCGGUUUGUUAAGUCAGAUGUGAAAUCCCCGAGCUUAACUCGGGAACUGCAUUUGAAACUGGCAGGCUAGAGUCUCGUAGAGGGGGGUAGAAUUCCAGGUGUAGCGGUGAAAUGCGUAGAGAUCUGGAGGAAUACCGGUGGCGAAGGCGGCCCCCUGGACGAAGACUGACGCUCAGGUACGAAAGCGUGGGGAGCAAACAGGAUUAGAUACCCCGGUAGUCCCUGUCUCUUAUAC